GAGCCAUUAGCUCAGCUGGUAGAGCAUCUGACUUUUAAUCAGAGGGUCAGAGGUUCGAAUCCUCUAUGGCNCA
rnacentral:tRNA from 1 species